GAGAGAGACAUGCGCGCAUAUCAAUAAGCGGAGGAAAAGAAACUAACAUAGGAUUCCCUCAGUAACGGCGAGUGAAGCGGGAAGAGCUCAAAUUUGAAAUCUUCAAGGGUUCUACCUUUACGAAUUGUAGUUUAAAGAAGUGUUUUCUGUUGAGGUUUUGGUAAAAGUUCUUUGGAAUAGGACAUCAUAGAGGGUGAGAAUCCCGUAUUUGACCUUUACUUUCAACUUUGUGAUACACUUUCAAAGAGUCGGAUUGUUUGGGAAUGCAGUCCAAAAUGGGUGGUAAAUUUCAUCUAAAGCUAAAUAUUGGCGAGAGACCGAUAGCGAACAAGUACCGUGAGGGAAAGAUGAAAAGAACUUUGAAAAGAGAGUUAAACAGUACGUGAAAUUGUCAAAAGGGAAGCGUUUGACACCAGUGUUGUUUUUCUCGAAAAUCAAUUAAAAGAAGCAUGAUUUAUGCUAAGUUGUAUUAGACUUUAUCAGCUUAACUGCUAGCUCUUUCUUGUCUUUUUUAAUGCACUUUUCAGUUAACAAGUCAACAUCAAUUUCUUUUGUUGUAAAAAGGUCAUUGAGGAAGGUGGCUUGCGAUUCGUAUAAAGUGUUUAUAGCCUCUUGCCUAUGCAGUCGGAGAGAUUGAGGUCUGCAGCGUAGAUCCUUCGGGGCUAAAUGCAUUUGUGCUAAGUUAUAGCAUUUUAUAGACAACUUGUUGACUAUGAUUUGUCUUGUAGCUUACUCGCUUAUGUUAUUUUACCUACGCUUAGGAUGUUGAUGUGAUACUGCGAGCA
rnacentral:rRNA from 1 species